ensembl:misc_RNA 7SK 7SK RNA
AUGUGAGGGUGAUCUGGUUGCGAGAUCUGUCACCCCAUUGAUUGCCAGUGUUGAUUCGGCUGAUCUGGCUGGCUAGGCAGGUGUGCCCUUGCUCCCUCACAUAU